CGUCGACCGGCGCACGGGUGAGUAACGCGUAUCCAACCUGCCCACCACUUGGGGAUAACCUUGCGAAAGUAAGACUAAUACCCAAUGAUAUCUCUAGAAGACAUCUGAAAGAGAUUAAAGAUUUAUCGGUGAUGGAUGGGGAUGCGUCUGGUUAGCUUGUUGGCGGGGUAACGGCCCACCAAGGCAACGAUCAGUAGGGGUUCUGAGAGGAAGGUCCCCCACAUUGGAACUGAGACACGGUCCAA
rnacentral:rRNA from 1 species